GGCAUCAGUGUGCUUGCCACAUGGCGGACUUUUAAUCCGCGGGUCGAGGGUUCGAUCCCCUCCGGGCCCACCC
rnacentral:tRNA from 1 species